GGUUCUAUGGUGUAAUGGUUAGCACGCUGGACUCUGAAUCCAGCAAUCUGAGUUCAAAUCUCGAUAGGACAU
rnacentral:tRNA from 1 species